rnacentral:rRNA from 1 species
UACGAAGGGGGGCUAGCGUUGCUCGGAAUGACUGGGCGUAAAGGGCGCGUAGGCGGUUCGUACAGUCAGACGUGAAAUUCCCGGGCUCAACCUGGGGGCUGCGUUUUGAUACGUGCGGGCUUGAGUUCGGAAGAGGGUCGUGGAAUUCCCAGUGUAGAGGUGAAAUUCGUUAGAUAUUGGGAAGAACACCGGUGGCGAAGGCGGCG